CCCUUAGAUGGUCUGGGCGGCACGCGCGCUACAAUGAUGCAUUCAAAAAGUCUUCUGACCUUAGAAGGUUGGGUAUCCUCCAAAGUGCAUCGUGAUGGGAAUAGUUUAUUGCAAUUUUUAAUCUUGAACGAGGAAUUCCUAGUAAGUACAGGUCAUCAACUUGUGUUGAUUACGUCCCUGCCCUUUGUACACACCGCCCGUCGCUCCUACUGAUUGAGUGUCUCGGUGAAUUCUUUGAUCUUCUGUCGAUUCAGUUCACUGAUCCGACGGUGGAAAGUUGAAUGAACUUCGUCACUUAGAGGAAGGAGAAGUCGUAACA
rnacentral:rRNA from 1 species